ensembl:miRNA
GGGCUCCACCUCCAGUGCCUACUGAGCUGAUAACAGUUUGACAUAGUGAACACUGGCUCAGUUCAGCAGGAACCGGAGUUAUGCCAUCUAUAGAC